UCUUUUUCAAACAAGGGAACAUUAGUAUUAUAAGUUUGUUGGGCAAUCUUUGAAUCUAGUUUUCAGUGCUUAAAACACAUGGACAGAAUGGUCACUGAUAGACUGAAACCACCAUAUUACAGGACACUUGUCACAUAUUCCCCAUGUGGUUUCUCAGAAGGAUUAAGGAUCAUGCAAACUGUGAAAUCUUUGCAUACAUCUUUGAUA